ACUACGGGAGGCUGCAGUGAGGAAUAUUGGUCAAUGGGCGGAAGCCUGAACCAGCCAAGUCGCGUGAGGGAAUAAGGCCCUACGGGUCGUAAACCUCUUUUGCCGGGGAGCAAGGGCGGGGACGUGUCCCGGCCCGGAGAGUACCCGGAGAAAAAGCAUCGGCUAACUCCGUGCCAGCAGCCGCGGUAAGCCGGAGGAUGCGAGCGUUAUCCGGAUUUAGUGGGUUUAAAGGGUGCGCAGGCGGCCUGUUAAGUCAGCGGUAAAAGCCCGGGGCUCAACCCCGGCGAGCCGUUGAAACUGGCGGGCUGGAGUUGGAGAGAAGUACGCGGAAUGCGCGGUGUAGCGGUGAAAUGCUUAGAUAUUGCGCAGAACUCCGAUUGCGAAGGCAGCAUACCGGCGGCGAUCUGACGCUGAGGCACGAAAGCGUGGGUAUCGAACAGGAUUAGAUACCCGUGUAGUC
rnacentral:rRNA from 1 species